GAGUUUGAUCCUGGCUCAGAUUGAACGCUGGCGGCAUGCCUUACACAUGCAAGUCGAACGGCAGCACGGGAGCUUGCUCCUGGUGGCGAGUGGCGAACGGGUGAGUAAUGCAUCGGAACGUAUCCUGGAGUGGGGGAUAACGUAGCGAAAGUUACGCUAAUACCGCAUAUUCUGUGAGCAGGAAAGCGGGGGACCUUCGGGGCCUCGCGCUCUUGGAGCGGCCGAUGUCGGAUUAGCUAGUUGGUGAGGUAAAGGCUCACCAAGGCGACGAUCCGUAGCAGGUCUGAGAGGAUGAUCUGCCACACUGGAACUGAGACACGGUCCAGGACUCCUACGGGAGGCAGCAGUGGGGAAUUUUGGACAAUGGGGGCAACCCGUGAUCCAGCCAUGCCGCGUGAGUGAAGAAGGCCUA
rnacentral:rRNA from 1 species